rnacentral:rRNA from 1 species
GGGCUCACACAAGCGGUGGAGCAUGUGGUUUAAUUCGAAGCUACGCGAAGAACCUUACCCAGACUUGACAUGGAUGGAUUAGCUCCGGGAAACCGGAGUGACGCCCUUCGGGGUGGAACUUCCACAGGUGUUGCAUGGCUGUCGUCAGCUCGUGUCGUGAGAUGUCGGGUUAAGUCCCUGAACGAGCGAAACCCCUGUUGUCAGUUGCCAGCACGUAAUGGUGGGGACUCUGACAAGACUGCCGUGGUUAACACGGAGGAAGGUGGGGACGACGUCAAGUCAUCAUGGCCCUUAUGUCUGGGGCUACACACGUGCUACAAUGGGCAGUACAGAGGGCGGCAAUGUCGCGAGACUGAGCAAAUCCCUAAAGCUGUCCCUAGUUCGGAUUGAAGGCUGCAACUCGCCUUCAUGAAGCUGGAAUCGCUAGUAA